rnacentral:lncRNA from 10 species
GCAGUCAGCAAAGACAAGAGUACUGAAAGCUGGCUGCCCUCUUCACAGUUGAAUACCAGGGCUUAAGGUGGGAAUUCCUGGCAGCUCCACCCCAUCCUUCCAGUGGGCAUGCAGGCCCUUAGACCGAACUGCUCCGUAUUGAUUUAUUUUCCCUACUGCGCAUGUGCUAAGGAACGGAAUUUUCCACUGCCAGCAUGUUUAGAGGCUAUAUACAUAACUGACGACUGGUCAUAAGAAGUACGAAGCCCAUUCCUUUGCCCUAGGUGUCGCCAUCUUUGAAAGGCCAUUCUGCUGGAGAACUUGCUGUGGGAUUGGUUGCACAGGGAAGUGUUCAGCUCCACUCUCUGUCCAUCCUGCUAUCUUCAGUUCCUCACAACCAUUAUUCCUGAGAAUUUUCCCAAAUAAACCGCCAGCAUGCAAACACAUCUGCCUAGUGGAGAACCAAAUUACAAGAGAAGGAAGACAAUGUGUGGAAGGACUGGGUUUCUUAUGGUGGUAGUAGGCUCAUUAUGAGUUUGGCUCCCUCUUGCUCUCCUUCUCUUCUACCUUCCAUCAUGGGAUGAUGCAGCAAGAAGGCCCUCAACUUGGAUUUUCCAGCCUCCAGAAGCAUAAAAAGUAAAAUACUUUUCUUUAUAAAUUAUCUCAUCUGUGGUAUGAUAUGAAGAUUAUCAUUUGAAUUAUAAAUCUCAUACAAAAAUCUUUCACUGGAUUUCUUUAAAAAAUACCUAAUUGCAGCAUACAUUUUUAUAAACACACAAAAAAAAUCUCAUGGACAUAUUGAGAGUUCCUAUAUGUGAAUUUUGAUGUGUGAAGAGCUGUGAAGCUAACACUUUGUUGUAAGAAAAAAGCUGGGGGAAUUCUCUUGAAGCUGCAUUUGAAUAUCAUGCACAACAUUUCUACAUAGAUUAAUUUAAUUGAGUUUGGGAGUGGAUGGAUGACAGGGAUGUGAAAAGACUAAAUUUCUGCCCCUGGAGCUACCCUUUGGCAGUGGCACUUUGCUAGACACAUAAAUCAGAUGGUACUAUGUGGACUGCAUUUACAGUAAAGAGAUGAUUUUUUUAAAUGGUAGCUUCCACCCUCUAGAAACUGAGCAACUUUGGGUGAGGUAAGGAAUCUCAAAAUUACAAAAAUUACUAAGUGCAAAAAUGUACAAAGGAUAAGAGCUCCAAGUCAAACGGUCCUGGGUUACCAGGCAAGCCUGUAUUUUUAAUAUAUUUUCUGAUUUUUUUUCUCUGUUACUCAUUCCUUUGUUUCUCUUUGCUUACCUUCUGUAGCUAUUUGAACUUCUUUAGGAUUGCAUCCUGAUUUUUAUAGUGUUUUUUAGUAUAAUUAUUUGGAUAAUUUUCUUAGUAGUUGCUUUGGGUAUUAAAAUAUUCACAUGUAACUCAUCACUGUCUGCUGGUAUUGAAAUUUUGCCACUUCAGAUAAGUGUAGAAACCUUACUUCCACUUAGGCCCCGUUAUCUUCUCCACUUCUAAAAUAUAAUUGUCUUAAGUAUUUUUUCUACAUAUAUUUAGCACUGUAUUAGACAAAGUUGUAAUAUUUGCCUUUACCUUCUAAUAUGGCUUAGGAAACUCAUGAGAAGUAAAAAUUGUUUAUUAUAAGUACCUUUAUAUUCACUCAUUCUGACGGUCUUUUUGUUUCCUGAAAUUCCAAGCAUUCUUCUGUUAUCAUUUCCUUUCUCUU